GACGAACGCUGGCGGCGUGCUUAACACAUGCAAGUCGAACGGAAAGGCCUCUUUCGGGGGGUACUCGAGUGGCGAACGGGUGAGUAACACGCGAGUAACAUGCCCUUGACUUUGGGAUAACUUCAGGAAACUCGGGCUAUUACCGCAUAGGGGCUCCUGCUGCACGGUGGGGGUUGGAAAGUUUCGGCGGUUGGGGGUGGAGUCGCGGCUUAUCAGCUUGUUGGUGGGGUAGUGGCUUACCAAGGCUUUGUCGGGUAGCCGGCCUGGGAGGGUGACCGGCCACAUUGGGACUGAGGAACGGGCCAGACUCCUACGGGGGGCAACAGGGGGGAAUAUUGCACAAUGGGUGGAAGCCUGAUGCAGCAACGCCGGGUGCGGGAUGACGGGCUUCGGGGUGUAAACCGCUUUCGCUCAGGACGAAGCUGUGUGUGACGGUAGUGGGUAAAGAAGCACCGGCUAACUACGUG
rnacentral:rRNA from 1 species